rnacentral:rRNA from 1 species
GUAACACUAACUGGAGGACCGAACCGACUAAUGUUGAAAAAUUAGCGGAUGACUUGUGGCUGGGGGUGAAAGGCCAAUCAAACCGGGAGAUAGCUGGUUCUCCCCGAAAGCUAUUUAGGUAGCGCCUCGUGAAUUCAUCUCCGGGGGUAGAGCACUGUUUCGGCAAGGGGGUCAUCCCGACUUACCAACCCGAUGCAAACUGCGAAUACCGGAGAAUGUUAUCACGGGAGACACACGGCGGGUGCUAACGUCCGUCGUGAAGAGGGAAACAACCCAGACCGCCAGCUAAGGUCCCAAAGUCAUGGUUAAGUGGGAAACGAUGUGGGAAGGCCCAGACAGCCAGGAUGUUGGCUUAGAAGCAGCCAUCAUUUAAAGAAAGCGUAAUAGCUCACUGGUCGAGUCGGCCUGCGCGGAAGAUGUAACGGGGCUAAACCAUGCACCGAAGCUGCGGCAGCGACACUGUGUGUUGUUGGGUAGGGGAGCGU